rnacentral:rRNA from 1 species
UACGUAGGGACCAAGCGUUGUUCGGAUUUACUGGGCGUAAAGGGCGUGUAGGCGGAUCGGUAAGUCUACUCUGAAAGCUCCUGGCUAAACUGGGAGAGGCGAGUGGAGACUGUCGGUCUAGAGUGAGGAAGAGGAAAGUGGAAUUCCGCGUGUAGUGGUGAAAUGCGUAGAGAUGCGGAGGAACACCAGUGGCGAAAGCGGCUUUCUGGUCCUUAACUGACGCUGAGGCGCGAAAAGCAUGGGGAGCGAACGGGGAU